UUUUUCUUAUGUUACAGUUCAAUGUAAGUCACCCAGUUGGGAUUGGAGAGUACUCAGAGACCUGCUCAGAACCAGGGAUUGUCCUUAGGUUGGCGUCCCACUUUCCAAGACCUUGGAGAUUUCUGCUGGAUCCUCUGAUUUCAGCAGAGGGGUAAAAAUGAAAAGAGCAAGGACAAUCACACAUGUACUUUUGGAGUCAGGCCUGGAAGUGGCUUACAUCACUUCUUCUGUCUGCUUUCCAAUUGGCUGGAACUCAGUCACAUGACACUCCUAACUGCAAGGGAAGCUGGGAAAAUGUAGUUUUCUACAUUUAUAUACAGGAGGAAAACAAGGACUUGGGGACUACAGAGCCAGCACUGUCUUUGCCUCAUAUUUUACCAAGUUCCAACCAGCAAAGUUUUUCCAGUUUAUAUUUCUAUAAGAAAGGUAUAAGAAUUCCUAGUUCCCUACACUGUCAGUAAUUAAGAGCAUGACAUUUUUGUGUGUCUAUUGUCCACAGCUUUGCAUAUGACAUUGCUGCUUUUCUACUGAUAGACUCAGAGUACCUCUUUCUGUCUUUGUAGAUGAUCUCUCUGGAAGCUAGGACUGCAGCCCUGAUUACUUUUAGGACAGCUGCCCCAUCACUGUCUCCCAGGCUGGCCUAAGUUUCUGGACCUUUCUCUGUUCUAUCUUCUGUCCUGUAUCCAGUGUCUGCAAAAGGGGACACCCUUGCUGGGCCUUUACCCCAAGCCCCAGGCCCCAGCAUCAUCCCUGAAUGAAGGGUCACUCAGAGACCGCAGGAGCAGGUUAGAAUUCUGCAUUUUCUGAGCCAUCUCAGGUGAGUCCAUGCUGACACUAUAUUUUCACAAGGAAAAAAAUUCAGGAACUAGAACCGGGAGACAAAGAUAACAGCCUGGUGCCAACUUGGUGCAUUGACUUUAACCAAAUCAUUGGGUGCUGAUCCUUAGUCCUCAGUCCCCACCAGAAUAAUCCUUCCCCAGGGAACAGUAAAGUCACUGUCUCACAUCUGAGCUAUGGUUUCCUCCUAGGCUUCUUCUCCACAUCGUCCACAGGACAGCUGGCUGCUGCCUGAUGAUUCACUAGGAGGCCUGGCCCCUUGACAGAGCAAAUUCCAGUGAGGACUGCAAAUGGCUUCCAGUGUCUGUUUGCCCAAGGCCUCCUGGGAACUGAGGGCCUGGCAUGAGCACAGCGGGGAACUGCAAACCAGGCAUUUUAUCCUGUCUGCUGUCUCUCACUCAUCACUUCCCUGAGGAAAGUUCAAAUUCAAAACAAAACAGCCGUUUUUGCAAAGCCAGCCGUUUUGCUCCACGGACCUGGGAAAGAUUUGAUGUAAAACCAGUUCUCAGGAAGCUGCACAUGAUUCACAGAUCUUAAUGCUGCCGGAGGCACAGAGUGCAAAGGAGAGAGCGGGGAAGAGAGGAAUGUAGCUGUCUCACCUUGGAAAGGGGGUAAACUGAGGCAAGGCUCAGCCGGAAAGUGAGUGAUAGGAAUCAACAGGAGGCACCACCGCUGCCAUUUCAUCUGGUUCAGUGUUCAUCCAGUGACUCUCCUCUCCGAGCCUUCUGCAGACACAGACAGGCAUUCAGAAACCAGC
rnacentral:lncRNA from 1 species